rnacentral:rRNA from 1 species
GAUGAACGCUAGCGGCAGGCAUAAUACAUGCAAGUUGAACGGGAUUCAGAUAGCAAUAUUUGAUGAGAGUGGCGCACGGGUGCGUAACACGUAUGCAACUUACCUUAAACUGGGAGAUAGCCCGUGGAAACAUGGAUUAAUAUCCCAUAGUAUAAAGAACAGGCAUUUGUUUUUUAUUAAAGCUCCGGCGGUUUAAGAUGGGCAUGCGUGUCAUUAGCUAGAUGGAGAGGUAACGGCUCACCAUGGCAACGAUGACUAGGGGGUCUGAGAGGAUGUCCCCCCACACUGGUACUGAGACACGGACCAGACUCCUACGGGAGGCAGCAGUAGGGAAUAUUGGGCAAUGGACGCAAGUCUGACCCAGCCAUGCCGCGUGCAGGAAGACGGCCCUCUGGGUUGUAAACCGCUUUUAUCAGGGAAGAAACCCUUCUACGUGUAGGAGGCUGACGGUACCUGAGGAAUAAGGAUCGGCUAACUCCGUGCCAGCAGCCGCGGUAAGAC